GCAGGAAGGAGGAAAGUGGAAAGAUCCAGUGUUAAUGAAAGGGAUUAGUGGGUGUGCCGGGACCAGCGAAAAAAAGGAGUCUGGUGCCUUGUCGUGGCUGUGACAUUUCCUCUGCCAUCUGCUGCAUCGGUGCCCCCAACGUCCAGGAACUAAUCCCCGGUCCUAUGUGGUUUUGACCCUAAUUCACUGUGAGCUUUUGGAGUGCAGUGGGCUGGGAGAGUAAACCCUGUGGGGAAGAACGUGCACCGGUGUUGUGAGACAACCGUCUUUUAUAUACAUGCCCGCUCGUGGCUUUGGACCCCUACUCCACCGAGUGGUGACGUGUCAACAAUAGCAAGUAAGGAACAGUGUGCAUAUUGUGGGGGACGAUGACUGCGACGUGUUGGCUGCUAUAUGAACAUCCAGCACUGUAGCCCUUGUGUAUGAAUACCUGUUUGUGGAGUGCUUUCCGAGGUUCGCCCCUGUCUAGAUCUCUGGUCCGUUGUCUGGAAGAGAGGAGAGGGAAGCGUUCGAGUCAUUCCUGAGGUACAUACCCGGUGGCACAAACCUACCUGAAGUCACCCAGCGUGGUGGCACCAGCUGAGGCCGUGGAAGGCCCAACGUGCAGCAACUUCAAUCUGUACUUCUAUCCACUCUUGGUCAAAUUCAAGAGGUGGUGAGUCUUUCUCCAUAUAUUCACUGAAGCUAAGUAAAUUUGUGAAGGAACUCUGUCUGUCUGUUACCAGUCCUACAGGUCUGAGCUUGAGGCUCUGAGCCAUCAUGGGAGUGUUUCCACGGUUGGAGGUGACCGGUUUGAGUGUUGGUCUGGGAAGUCUGCCCCAGUGAAGAAGACCACAGUUGUCGUGACAUAUACACAUUCUCUAGACUCCCGAGCUGAAAAGGGCUUAAGCCUGACGUCCACCUCUUCGAGGGUCUGUGAGUUGUAUCCAUUCAGUAUUGUCAUCGAAUACCCACCUGUAUGCCCAAAGUCAAACUCCAGUUGCCCUUUGUAUACUCUACUGUACGCCCACAUUUAAGAGCCAGCAUAUUGUCCUUGUAUACUUGCGUGUACGUCCAAAGUAAAGACCCAGUUGUCCUUCUGCAUACAUACUUGUACGCCCGAGUGAAAUACCAGUGCAUCGCCCUUGCAUACUCGCCUACAAACUCCAUCCGUAGGGUUUACCUGGACGAAAAUCCCCGUGACAGAGUAAGAAGCGACUCGGACCUAUACUCUCUGGCCUCGAGAGUGGAUAUUAGAUUCCCUUUUCCCUUCCCUUCACACCUUUUAGAUAAUUUAAAUAAAGUUUGUUUUACUCAUACUCCCUUUCUCUCGUGUGUCUGGUCAUUGGGAUGUUCUUGGGACCUCCUCGAGGUGGAAACUAGGGAGGGGAGAGACUCACGACAUCUGUGGUCCGCUCCGACCUGUGACAUAUGUUUGGUGAAGAUCCCCAUUUCCUUGAUUGCAGUAAUUAACUAGUCACUCUGGAAUGCAUGUGCACACUAACAAAUGUAAUUGACUUCAUUGAUUUAUUGUUAUGUUUUUGCAGCCUCUCUUGUUGACUUCUCUGAGGAUGCACAAAAAGGACUGCAGUGUCUGGUUCAUCAGAGGCUCAGCAAACUGAAAGCAAAAAUGCUUUUAGUCAACAUCCAUUACAAAUCUAUCCUGAAUGAUAACUCUCACCUGGAGAUGGAGUUGGAAGAAGACAUAUAACUUGAUGCUAUAGCCUCUGAUUUCAGCUGUUCUGAUGAGGACUCUGACUGAAUGUCAUCUGCCAUCAAACAUGCUUCAAUUACUGUGUGCUAAAUUCAGAAAAAACAGGUGUUAAUUAUAGGGCCUAAAAACUCUGCUUGUAAUAACCUGGAACACUGUCUAAGACUUGAUGGUUGCUGUCAAUUCUUCGUUAUCAUUUAGGAACCUAGGUCUGCUACUUGAUGGCAAUCUUUCCUUAGAAAGCCACGUUUCUAGCCUUUGUAAAUCUGCAUUUUUCCAUCUCAAAAAUAUAUCUUAGUUACGGCCUAUGCUCUCAAUGUCAAAUGCAGAAAUGUUAAUCCA